GACGAACGCUGGCGGCGUGCCUAACACAUGCAAGUCGAGCGGAGGUACAAUGAGAGCAAUCGAGAUGUACUUUAGCGGCGGACGGGUGAGUAACGCGUGAGCAACCUGCCUAUCACAGGGGGAUAAGGCGGCGAAAGCCGCUCUAAUACCGCAUGAGACCCUCAAAGCGAUGCAAUGGGGGUGAAAGGAGCGAUCCGGUGAGAGAUGGGCUCGCGUCCGAUUAGGUAGUUGGUAGGGUAAGGGCCUACCAAGCCAAUGAUCGGUAGCCGGCCUGAGAGGGUGAACGGCCACAUUGGAACUGAGAGACGGUCCAAACUCCUACGGGAGGCAGCAGUGGGGAAUAUUGGGCAAUGGGCGGAAGCCUGACCCAGCAACGCCGCGUGAGGGAAGAAGGUUUUCGGUAUUGUAAACCUCUGUUCUUGGGAAAAAAAAGGGAGGAGACGGUACCAAGGAGGAAGCCCGGCUAACUACGUG
rnacentral:rRNA from 1 species